UCUGCCUGGAGGCAUUCUUGCUCAUCUGCCUUUUCUGUUUCUGUAUCCUCUCCCUCUCUCUCUCUCUCUUCUCCCUUUCCUUCUGUGAUUACAGACUGUCCACUUUAGGAGGAUGUUAAAAUUCUAUCCUGGAACAGAAGCGAUAGGAUAAGGUUUGUGUGCCAAUAAAAAUUUGUGGCAACUGGCGUGCAUGUUUUAGCUUCAUCUAUGUCUCUGCUGAUUCUUUAUUUGUCUGAUUGAUCAUAACAAUCUUGUGACAUAGUUUUAUCUUCAAUUCCACGAGAUUGUAGUUUUUGUUUAUUAAUGUUUCUGUUGCAGGGCUCAUUUGUUCCAUAUUAAGUUUGAUGAAACAGACCAUGACAGAGAUCGGUGGACAGGGAGGGAAGAUUGUGAAAAUGAAGGCGGCUUUCAUUAAGAGUCUUAGAGAUGUUUUAGAUUAUUAUUAUUAUUAUUAUUAUUAUUUUUUUUUUUCAAAUUUGGAUUUCAUGGAUGUAAGUUUGGACAAAUAAUGAGCAAGAAAAACCUGAGCAGCAAACGAUUAUAAGGUUUGCGGUAGUGAGAGCAGAGCUAUUGUUCUUCGGUUGUUUGUAUGUCUUUAGCUUCAGCUAUAUAUAAAUUUCUACAGUUUACAAAGUUAUUUAUGCAGAUGGAGUUUCCUAUGUUGAA